rnacentral:lncRNA from 1 species
GUAUUUCUUUUCAAAUGUAGACAUUGACAUAGAACUCUUACUGAAAUGCUUUUAAUGUGUUUACAUUUGUUUUUCACUUAGCUGAAUGCAAUAUCCAUACAUCUCCUUCUCCGGGAAUUCAAGUAAGGCAUGUCUACACCCCCUCUACAACAAAGCAUUUCUCACCCAUAAAACAGUCAACCACUUUAACCAACAAACACAGAGGAAAUGAGGUCUCUACCACACCUCUGUUAGCAAAUUCUUUGUCUGUUCACCAGUUGGCUGCUCAGGGAGAGAUGCUCUAUCUGGCUACUCGUAUCGAACAAGGUAAUAGCCUAUUUAAAAAUAUUUAAACAAAUUCAAUAGGAUUUAUUAGAUUUGUUAUUGUUUUAUUUUAAUAUAAGAAAGUCCUAAAGACAAAAACAAAUAGUUACAUAAACUCACCAGGCAGAUAACCCAAUGGAUAGU